UACGGGGGGGGCAAGCGUUGUUCGGAAUUACUGGGCGUAAAGGGCUCGUAGGCGGCCAACUAAGUCAGACGUGAAAUCCCCAGGCUCAACCUGGGAACUGCGUCUGAUACUGGCUGGCUUGAAUCCGGGAGAGGGAUGCGGAAUUCCAGGUGUAGCGGUGAAAUGCGUAGAUAUCUGGAGGAACACCGGUGGCGAAGGCGGCAUCCUGGACCGGUAUUGACGCUGAGGAGCGAAAGCUAGGGGAGCAAACGGG
rnacentral:rRNA from 1 species